UUGCAGGGGUCGAGUCCAGCUUCUGGCCCCACCUCUUCGCUGGCCGCUACUAGAUCACUCUUCCCGCCCCAUGAGCUUUAUCAUACCUCUUCUUGAAGCUUUGUAUGCGUUUUGUAAUGACUGAUCGGUGAUGGUUACUCAAGGACUGAUGACUGUUAAUGGUGAAGGGUGUACCUGAUAAGGUUUGUCACAGGAGGGGUCCCGUAAGUGACUUUAAGUCUACAUAACUUAAAAAUUUUGGGUCUACUACUACUGUUGCGAGGGGGCCCCCAUAACGGGGGGCUCCAAAAAUAUAGGGCCGCCACUGGGUUUGUGAGAGGGAUAAUAUGAGGCAAGAUAUGGUCAUAAUAAUAAUAAUUAAAACACUCAGCACCAGUAAAAAUUCACAAGAGUCGAGGCGCAGACAUUGCAUCAGCAGUAUGGUCGUCUAGCCGCUGCUGUCAGCUAACAGUCAGGUAACAGCUAACCUCUUAUCAGCUCAGUCAGCACAUGUAGAGUUUAUGUGGUCCUGGAGGUGACCAGUGGACAUCACUCUCCUCUGGAACACUCGCCACUCCACUAGUUACAAUUCACUCUUCUAGCAGGAUGCGAUGGUUGGUUGUAUGUACACUGCUGCUGACCACCACGGCAGCCAGGGCUAACUUUUUGGACGAGUUGUGGGAGCAUCUGAUGGAUAUCUUCAGGACUUUUGAGUCAGUACCUUACAAGGUUACCAGGACAGCUCCUGUGAGUUUUCUGCAUUUGUUU